UGAACUCCCGCGAGUUUCGGUGGUAGUGCGAGCUUAUACGCCACCGCACCCACACGCUCUAAUAUCUCAAACGGUCCGACAUAACGGGGACUUAGCUUCCCACGGACCCCGAAUCGUUUGACUCCUCGCAUCGGCGAUACUCUCAAGAAUACACGGUCUCCAACCGCGAACUCUAAAUCCUUUCUCCUCUUGUCGGCAUAACUCUUUUGCCGAGAUUGCGCUGCCGCUAAUCGUUGACGAGCAAGGCGAACUUUCUCUUCCGCCUCCCGCACUACAUCCGGGCCAAGAGCCGCUCUCUCGCCCACGUCGCUCCAAUAGAUAGGAGAACGACAC
rnacentral:lncRNA from 1 species